rnacentral:misc_RNA from 1 species
AAGAGUUUGGUACCUUCGGGUACUAUCUCCCACCAAUUGUGAACCAAUUUCGUUGCCUCGACAUCCGAUGUGUACCCAUUUGGUGUACCCAUCCUUCGGUUGUUCGCACCUGAAGAGUGAUGUCGAAGGAUUUUCAAACUAUACUUAAUCCAUUAUCUGAGUUAAAACAAAUAAAAACA